UCAUUUCUCCGUCACCUGCUAACAUCACCCUCCUUUGGACAAUUUACUGUCCAACCAUCCAGAGUCUACGCACUCAGUGUAUGUCUCGUGGUGGGGUACGCACUCACACUUGACAUUUGAGCAAGACAUUUAGGAACGAAGGGAAGUACAGAGCGUUUUCUUGGGAGAGACUGGGAUUGUUUUGGGAGUAUAUGUUUUUUUCAUGUUUUCUCUGACAGCAUGGAGUACUGCACUUUGAAAGGAUUCCUGGUGGUUUUGCUGAUACAACACUGCAAGUCUGAAGAUCUGUCUACCUCCAUCCAAUCCUCCACUGCGGUCGCCCACCAAGAUGGCCAGAGCUUACCCCAGGAUCCAGAGUUGCCCCCCGCAGAAGUGGUACCAGUAGCGUCCCCUCCUAGCCUGAAGGAGGUGCAGCAGGCCGUGCAGGAGGCAUCAGAGCAGGUGGAGGGUCGUGGGGCUGAGGAAGUGCUGAAGGAGCUGCUGGAGAGAGUGGUGGAGGCAGCUCUGGGACAGGCGGAAGCAGGGAACGACGCAAAAGCGGAUGUAGUGCAGGAAGCGGUUGAGGAGGAUUCACUGGGGACAAAAUCAAAAGAGAGUGAAGCUGAGGUAGAAGUGCUAGAGGAGGCAGUGGAGGAUGAAGAUAUGGGGGACAAGGAGGAAGAUACCGGUGUUGAAGAGAAGCAGGAGGUAGCAGAGGUGGAUGCACUUGAAGAUGUGGCCGAGGAGGGGAAAGGAGUUGUCGAGGCAGAGGGUGAAACAGCAGCUGGAUCUGUGGAGAAGACCACAGCCGCUGUAGAAACUGAAGUCAGACAGACAGAGGGUGUGGAGGUUAUCGAUGAGUCGCUGGGAAGUGAGGAGGAGGUUGUGGAAGGAGCUGUGGCUGCUUUAGAAGAGAAAGGAGGGGAUUUGGCCAUAGAGGAGGCAGGGGAGGAGGACAGCGAGGAUCAGGUCGUGUUGUCUGAAGAAAAAGGAGCAGCUGAAACAGAAAUACAGGAAGCAGAGGAAGCCCCAGCUGCUGUAGAGGUGGCAGUAAUUGGACAGCCAGAUCAGGAGACUGUGGAAGAGUCUGAACCAUGGCUAGGAGAGGCUGACGUGGAGCAGAUAGGGCAUGAUGGGUCGAGAGAAGAGGCUCUGGGGGAUGAAACUCAGGUAGAUGAAACAGAACGUGAAGAGAUAAUAGUGCCUUCUGAUAAUUAUGACAUAGAAGCCACACAAAGUGUAGUAGGAGAUACAGGAGAGGAGGAGGAAGAGGAAGAAAACAUAGUAAUGGAUCCUGAAGGGCCAGAAGGAGAAGAUGGGUAUUUAGUGGAGGGAGGAACUGCAGAAGAGGAAGAAGCAGAAGGUACAGAUGUAGGGGAAGUAACAGGAGAUGAAAUAGAAGGAGAGAGUGUAAUCAAGGAGGAAUCGGUGGUAUUGGUGAAUGAGGAAAGCGUUCAAAAAGCAGGGGAGGAGGAGCAGAUUGCUUUGGAGACUUCAAACGGUGGUGAAAAGGAGGAUGAAGAAGUGGUCUCAGAGCCUGCGGAUGGUGAAGAAGCCUCAAUGGAGCAGAGCCCUGAGAACCAGGCUCCCACCUCAAACCCAUCCCUCAGUGAGGUGGAAACUGGAGAAAACACUCCUGAUGAGGAGAAGUCAGACCACGGCAACGAGAUCAUCACCACCACCGAUGACCUUUUGCCACAGGAGUCCUCUGUGGCUCAACCUACACUAGAUAAUUUCAUGAAUGGUGUUCUAGGUGAACAACCCGAGGCACAAGGAGAGGAACUAGGAGAGGCCAAUGAGCUGGUAGAAGAUACAGCUGGAACUACAGAGACAAAUGAGCUAGGCCUGGAGGCAUGGAAGAUAGGGGCUAUUUCCGCUGCAGUGUUCUUGGUUUUGGAGACUGUUGUCAUCAUUAUCUAUAUCCUCAAAUGUCGCAACAAAAACAGGUAAGUUGCACCACUUUCUGUGCACUUAAUCUCCAGGAACACUCCAAAAAAAGCUGUCUAAUAGGCCCAGAUUUGUUGGUGCACUAAAAGUACAGCUCAAAUCUGCUUCACUUAUUACUGUUCACCUCAUAGCCAGUGUAAUUUCUUGUUGCCAAUCAUCCAUUAUAACAUUAUAAUUCGAGAAGGCCGAGCCACAUUGUGUACCCAGCAGCCUCAGACAAAAGUAGAUGUUCUUAACAACUCAAAUUUUUCUGUAUCGUAGCAUGAAUUUGUGUUCUGACUCUUUUUUUUCAUUUUAUUUCUUUUAUUUUUAUGAAUGAAAAUCGAAAUAAAACUUCUUCUGCAUUCGCACGACCACAUCCCAGUGCUUCCUCUCUAAUAGCCAAAAUAAGCCAUCUGAUUGCUAGCUGUAGCACCAGCAGCGCUACAAUCACAGAUGGGACUCACAGCAGUGCUGGUACAUGAUUGCUUUCGAUGUUCCCCGAGCUGCAGCUAACAUUUCAAGACUGAUAGAAGAUGAAAUGAGGAGGCUGUGCUCAGUAUUGGGUCAGUACUUCCCCCCUCUGUUCACAAAAAGUGUAUUUUUUUUUCCUCCAGUAAUACAGCUAUACCUACUUUUUUUGAUAUUAUUUCUCCACUCCGCUCAAUGCAACAAGUAGUUAAUUUGUCGAAAGGCAACAGUAAGAAACAACAGCAAUAACAGUGAUAAUGGGAUUUUGUUUAUGUGUGUGUGCAGUACCCCGGCCCUACAGCGGGCAUGCGAAGAAGGGUGUGUUGAACCAGAGGCAGCUACAGGAGGUGACUGCAGUGACGACACACUGCCUGCAGGAUAGCCACGCUUGACCCGUCUGAUGUGGCUUCGACCCUGGCCACAACAAAGGAGAAGCAAGGAGACGAGCAUGCGAUAGCCAUGUCAGGCCUCCCGCCCGGCUCCACAGAGGAGUCAGCCAACACUGGACCAGGACCAGACUCUUCACAAGACCUCAGGACUUCCAUCCUCUAGGGGGUCCAAAUGUUUGUCUGUUCCUGCUGCGUCUAAAUGGAACCCAAAAAGGCCACUUUCCAAGCCUGCACCCAAUCCCAAAUCACCUAGUUACCCUAAAUUCUCAAACCCAACACAGACUGCCUUGGAGUCAAACUGUAAUAACUAGUGCACAUGUAUCGCAUUUAUAUUUGGUGUAUAUGUCUGUUUAUUUGUCUGUCUGUCUGUCUGUCUGUGUGUGCAUGUAACGUGAGCGAAAGAGAUACUGUAACACAUUUUGCAUGUAUGAAUAUGUGGAUGAGUGAACAGGAAGAGCAUGUUUUAAAAUACUCUGUGCAAGUGUGAGUGUGGAAAUGUGAUAAAACUGUUCUGUAUUUAGUUUGAUGUCUGUAAACUCUUUAGGCUGAAAUGGAAUUUUUUCACACUGACCACUUCAGUCAUGCUGUUCAAAGUUGUUGAAAAGAACACAGCAGGAGCAGCGACAAUAAGCAAUUUUCCUGUUUUAAUGGCAAUUCAGUACAGUGUGUUCACAAAGUGCUGGCAGUACCACAGAGUGCUAUAUCUGAGCAGUCUCAUUAAACUGUACAACACUGGCCUACGAGGAAAAGAAAGAAAAAAAACAAGAUUUUUCAUUACUGAGAUGGAUUUUAAAAUUUUAUUUGAUUUUUAUUCUACAUAACUCUUGACCUUUGUAUCAUCAUUUGUGAUUUGAGCAAUACAAAAUAAAGAGAUA
ensembl:lncRNA